GUGCUCGCUUUGGCAGCACAUACUCUAAAAUUGGAACUGUGCAGAGAUUAGCAGGCCCCUGUGCGUGGAUGACAUCUGGGAAGGGUCCCAUACUUUG
ensembl:snRNA U6 U6 spliceosomal RNA